rnacentral:rRNA from 1 species
GACGAACGCUGGCGGCGCGCCUAACACAUGCAAGUCGAACGGAGCUUAGAGAGCUUGCUUUUUAAGCUUAGUGGCGAGCGGGUGAGUAACGCGUGAGUAACCUGCCCUAGAGUGGGGGACAACAGUUGGAAACGACUGCUAAUACCGCAUAAGCCCACGGUACCGCAUGGCACUGAGGGAAAAGGAUUUAUUCGCUUUAGGAUGGACUCGCGUCCAAUUAGCUAGUUGGUGAGGUAACGGCCCACCAAGGCGACGAUUGGUAGCCGGACUGAGAGGUUGAACGGCCACAUUGGGACUGAGACACGGCCCAGACUCCUACGGGAGGCAGCAGUGGGGGAUAUUGCACAAUGGGGGAAACCCUGAUGCAGCGACGCCGCGUGGAGGAAGAAGGUUUUCGGAUUGUAAACUCCUGUCGUUAGGGACGAUAAUGACG